GUAAAUAUAGUUUAACAAAAAACUUUAGGUUGUGAACCUAACAAUAGAAGUUUGAAUCUUCUCAUUUACC
rnacentral:tRNA from 1 species